AUUGAACGCUGGCGGCAUGGCUAAAACAUGCAAGUCGAACGGGAUCGCAAGAUCUAGUGGCGGAAGGGUGAGUAAUGGUAUCGAACGUGCCCCGAGGUGGGGGAUAGGCAUGGGAAACUGUGCGUAAUACCCCAUGAUUUCCAAGGAACAAAGCUUCGGCGCCUUGGGAGCGGCGAUACUCCUAUCAGGUAGUUGGCGGGGUAAUGGCCCACCAAGCCGAAGACGGGUAGCCGGUAUGAGAGUACGGCCGGCCACAUCGGGACUGAGACACUGCCCGGACUCCUACGGGAGGCUGCAGUAAGGAAUAUUGGUCAAUGGACGAAAGUCUGAACCAGCCAUGCCGCGUGAGUGGUGAAGGCCUUAGGGUUGUAAAGCUCUUUUGUCGGGGACGAUAAUGACGGUACCCGAAGAAUAAGCUCCGGCUAACUUCGUG
rnacentral:rRNA from 1 species